AUUGAACGCUGGCGGCAUGCUUUACACAUGCAAGUCGAACGGUAACAGGGUGCUUGCACCGCUGACGAGUGGCGAACGGGUGAGUAAUGCGUCGGAACGUGCCGAGUAGUGGGGGAUAACGCAGCGAAAGUUGUGCUAAUACCGCAUACGUACUGAGGUAGAAAGUGGGGGACCUUCGGGCCUCACGCCAUUCGAGCGGCCGACGUCUGAUUGGCUGGUAGGUGAGGUAAAGGCUCACUUAGGCGCCGCUCAGUAGCGGGUCUGAGAGGAUGAUGCGCCACACUGGGACUGAGAGACGGCCCAGACUCCUACGGGAGGCAGCAGGGGGGAAUUUUGGACGAUGGGCGAAAGCCUGAUCCAGCCCUGCCGCGUGUCUGAAGAAGGCCUUCGGGUUGUAAAGGACUUUUGUCAGGGAGGAAAUCCCUAGUGCUAAUAACACUGGGGGAUGACAGUACCUGAAGAAUAAGCACCGGCUAACUACGUGCCAGCAGCCGCGGUAA
rnacentral:rRNA from 1 species